rnacentral:rRNA from 1 species
GGGUCAGUAGGUUGGUCGUGCCACCGGUACGUACUGGUCUCACUGAUUCCUCCUUCCUGAAGAACCGUAAUGCCAUUAAUUUGGUGUUGCGGGGAAACAGGACUGUUACUUCGAAAAAAUUAGAGUGUUUAAAGCAAGCUAACGCUUGAAUACAUUAGCAUGGAAUAAUGAAAUAGGACGAUCGAUCCUAUUUUGUUGGUUUCUAGGAUUGACGUA